ensembl:lncRNA
GCAAAACUCCAGAGUUUAUCUCCUGUGGUGCAUGUGAGAUGACUGUAUGAGGUAGACAGUCUUCAUCAGAUGGUGUCUUAGAUACCUGUGACACUAAGAGGCUCAGGAAUACAGAAUGCUUCCUGUGUUCCCAAGAACAAUGGAGAAAUGACUCAGAGAACUAGCUGCUUGGUAAAGUAUGAGGAAGGACCCACAAAUAACCAAUACGACCAAAGAGUAAUGAGGUCAUCCCAUCAAAUGCUGAUAUGGGCACCCAUAUUUUAAAGGGCCAGAUGUGGUCUCCCAGUGAUUUGCCUUAUGAAAAUCUGCUAGAACAUAUCUUCAGUCCCAGAUAAAAGCAGUUACUGAGAAGGAAUGCCACAGUGACUAAAAGUGGACCUUUGUCAAGCAACAUGGCCUGUUCUAUCAUCCCCUAGUUGAAUACCAGUCCUGUUUACAAUGACACAUUUGAACGAGGAAUGAUGAAAUCAGUAAUCUUUGCUUUGAACAUGGUUAAUAUUUCACUAUUAUUUUGGCAGUGAUUUAACCAACAGUUUCAUUUGCUUUUUAAGGCCACACACAAUCAACUGUUAUUAGUAACAGAAAAGAAAGAAAUGAACUGAAGUGAUCUUGAAACAACUGAUCUACUGAUCUCUUGUUAUUAAUUGACUCAUUUUAAAAUUACUAUUUUUUGUGUGUUUAGCUUAAGUUGGUUUUUAGAAAUGUGACUCAUGAAAUAGCAGCACAAAAAUAGGUAAAUGUAGAAAAACUUCCUGUAACACAGAAAUGCAAUGGCAUUAUAUGUUUAAUAAUGGUUAUCCAAGAAUUAUUCUUCAAGGUUGAAAUUCUGGGAAAAAAUUCUUUGAAUAUGGUUUUGUAGUCUAGGCUUGAGCUAUGGAAUCUAUGGCUUCUAAAUAAAAGAAGUCCUGGCCAGUCUUCCCA